CCUACGGGAGGCAGCAGUGGGGGAUAUUGCACAAUGGGGGAAACCCUGAUGCAGCGACGCCGCGUGAGUGACGAAGUAUUUCGGUCUGUAAAGCUCUAUCAGCAGGGAAGAAAAUGACAGUACCUGACCAAGAAGCCCCGGCUAACUACGGGCCAGCAGCCGCGGUAAUACGUAGGGGGCAAGCGUUAUCCGGAUUUACUGGGUGUAAAGGGAGCGUAGACGGUAAAGUAAGUCUGGAGUGAAAGGCCGGGGCUCAACCCCGGAACUGCUUUGGAAACUGUGUAACUGGAGUACAGGAGGGGUAGGCGGAAUUCCUGGUGUAGCGGUGAAAUGCGUAGAUAUCAGGAGGAACACC
rnacentral:rRNA from 1 species